rnacentral:rRNA from 1 species
GACGAACGCUGGCGGCGUGCUUAACACAUGCAAGUCGAGCGGAAAGGCCCUUCGGGGUACUCGAGCGGCGAACGGGUGAGUAACACGUGAGUAACCUGCCCCAGACUUUGGGAUAACCCUCGGAAACGGGGGCUAAUACCGGAUACGACACAGCUUCGCAUGGGGUCUGUGUGGAAAGUUUUUCGGUUUGGGAUGGGCUCGCGGCCUAUCAGCUUGUUGGUGGGGUGAUGGCCUACCAAGGCGACGACGGGUAGCCGGCCUGAGAGGGCGACCGGCCACACUGGGACUGAGACACGGCCCAGACUCCGACGGGAGGCAGGAGUGGGGAAUAGUGCACAAUGGGCGGAAGCCUGAUGCAGCGACGCCGCGUGAGGGAGGACGGCCUUCGGGUUGUAAACCGCUUUCAGCAGGGACGAAGCGUAAGUGACGGUACCUGCAGAAGAAGCGCCGGCCAACUACGU